AGCUACACCAUUUCAGGCGCUCCGGCAGCCGCGGCCACCCACUGCCGCGUUCCAGGACAACUGAGACUCACAGAAAUGAGGUAACUUCCUAAAGGCAAGGCAACUAAUAGCAAAACUGGAAUCUGAACCUGAGAUCUGGCAAACACAAAGCUCCAGCCGUUUCUCCUUUGCUGUGCUGCCCACACGCUUCUAGACUAGCCCCCAAGAGAACUAUCAACUCU
rnacentral:lncRNA from 1 species